GAAAAAGUUAUAAGGGUUAUAAGACUGGCUUGAAACCAGUUCUAGGGGGUUCGACUCUCUCCUUUUUCG
rnacentral:tRNA from 1 species